ACCGGCGAUACCCGAAUGGGGAAACCCAGUGUGAUUCGUCACACUAUCAUUAACUGAAUCCAUAGGUUAAUGAGGCGAACCGGGGGAACUGAAACAUCUAAGUACCCCGAGGAAAAGAAAUCAACCGAGAUUCCCCCAGUAGCGGCGAGCGAACGGGGAGGAGCCCAGAGCCUGAAUCAGCAUGUGUGUUAGUGGAAGCGUCUGGAAAGGCGCGCGAUACAGGGUGACAGCCCCGUACACAAAAGCGCAUGUGCUGUGAGCUCGAUGAGUAGGGCGGGACACGUGGUAUCCUGUCUGAAUAUGGGGGGACCAUCCUCCAAGGCUAAAUACUCCUGACUGACCGAUAGUGAACCAGUACCGUGAGGGAAAGGCGAAAAGAACCCCGGCGAGGGGAGUGAAAAAGAACCUGAAACCG
rnacentral:rRNA from 1 species